UCGAGGAUCUUCGGCAAUGUGCGAAAGCAUGACCGAGCGACGCCGCGUGUGCGACGAAGGCCUUCGGGUUGUAAAGCACUGUCGAGGGGGAGGAAAGCCGAAAGGUCUGACCUAUCCCUGGAGGAAGCACGGGCUAAGUUCGUGCCAGCAGCCGCGGUAAGACGAACCGUGCGAACGUUGUUCGGAAUCACUGGGCAUAAAGGGCGCGUAGGCGGGCCGAUAAGUCAGGGGUGAAAUCCUCCAGCUUAACUGGAGAACUGCCUUUGAUACUGACGGCCUCGAGUAAGGUAGGGGCAUGCGGAACUGAUGGUGGAGCGGUGAAAUGUGUUGAUAUCAUCAGGAACUCCGGUGGCGAAAGCGGCAUGCUGGACCUUUACUGACGCUGAGGCGCGAAAGCUAGGGGAGCAAACGGGAUUAGAUACCCCCGUAGUCCCUGAGCGGGCUGGCAAGGCG
rnacentral:rRNA from 1 species